rnacentral:rRNA from 1 species
UACGUAGGGUGCGAGCGUUAAUCGGAAUUACUGGGCGUAAAGGGUGCGCAGGCGGUUCUGCAGGUCAGGCGUGAAAGCCCCGGGCUUAACCUGGGAAUGGCGCUUGAAACUACAGGACUGGAGUAUGGCAGAGGGAGGUGGAAUUCCACGUGUAGCAGUGAAAUGCGUAGAGAUGUGGAGGAACACCGAUGGCGAAGGCAGCCCCCUGGGUCAACACUGACGCUCAUGCACGAAAGCGUGGGGAGCAAACAGG